rfam:Beta vulgaris subsp. vulgaris Bvchr5.sca022.con0085.1, whole genome shotgun sequence.
UAUAAGACAAUGAUGAUUAAAUUUCAGCUUAUGCCAGUUCUGCUUCAGAAAAUUCGUGAUAGAAAAAGCUAUCUAGUGUUCUGAGCUAAAA